rnacentral:ncRNA from 1 species
GCAGCGAAAAGGCAAGUCCUGAUAGGAGGUAUCAGGAUGCGCAAAGCCACGGGACGAUUCGCUCGCUAAAAAAUUUGGUUUGAUCAUUUAAUUUCGCUUCAAGGGUCAAAAGCGAGAGAGAAAAGUUAGCCGGGUUACCGAA